UGGAUAAUGUGAUGCGCCACAUAAAGUGUAAUUUAUUUGAGAUUAUUUUACCCCGUAUCUUCUGUCAUUGACAAAGUAAAAAAACCUGCAGAACUCUUCUUUUUAUCUGGGUAUUUUUCACUUUGUUCUUUUAUCCUCUUUAUCUUAAGCCAGACUUCUUAUUCUGUUUUUUUUUUUUUUUAAUAUUUUUUUUUAGUUCUGGAAUCUGUCGUCAUUAAUCCUACUGCAUAUGAACUACUGUGCACAAUUAAGAGUAUUUAUAUAUUCAUAAAUCUCCUCAAAACAUAUUCUUGCUUUAAAAAUACAAACCCCACACUAAUAUUCCUCAAAGAACCCAUCUUCAACCUUUCUCUCUCCUCCUAGCAGCCUCCAUUGUCAACAAUUUUGCUGGAAAUCUUGUUAGUACCAUGUAGCCUGGAGCAGGAAGAGAACAGAUUGAAGGGAGAAAACCCUUCUGCAGAUGUCUUAGCAGAUUCGAACUUCGAGUUCCUACACACAAAAUUAAACAAUAAUGACCACAAAACACGGCAAUGGUUGAAAAAUUUGAUGCAUAAAAUAGGCAGAAAGGAGCAGAACGUCCAUACCACACCAUAGCAGAACUUUGUUUGGCAACUUCUUUAUCUCCUCAUAAGAUGGUCCAGCGCUCAAAUCAACAGCAAGGAUAUUGUCAACUGAUAUGUCAUAACCCUGUAACAAAUUUUGAUUACAUCAGUGAUCAUAAGCCGUAACAUAAUUUUAUUAUCUAACAGUGCUAAAACUAGAUAAGGUUCGUCUUCUUACAACUUCACCAACUUUAAUUGGUUCAUAGGUUUUCUCUAAGUAGUUGAGGAUCAUCUUGUAAUCAUCAGAUUCUUUGUCCAAUGGGGUUAUUUUGCACCCGAGCUUCUUGUAACGGUCUGACAACGGGUCAUCCAAUGUCGAGCCACUCAUGUCACCUAUCAAACGUGAAGCCACAUUUAUGUCCCUGAUAGCCUCGAGAGGAGAUGCAGCCUGCACAAAUUUCCCACAUUAGCAAACAGAACAAGAAAUAACUUGGGAGGACAUGUUUAGUGGUGUACGUAGCACGAAGUUUUACAUGAUCUGCAAGUUCCUGGAAGUCCUUGAAGAUGAAAGGACGAGUAGAAUGCAUGAGAGUAAACCAUUUGGAGCUAAAUUCAGACCACAACGCUUCAGCCUUUGGCCCUUUUUGCUCCUGCGACUUCAUAUCCUCUAUAAAUUGCAGAAGAGCGUCCUCGCCUGACAUAGAAGUUACGCUUGAUAUAAAUGUACAAGAAGACGGCAUAUAUCUAAAUGUUCCAAAUAUAUGUUAAAAAAUGCUAGAUGAUGUA